GCCCAAACAGGGACCCAUUGUGCCAAGCAUAUAAUAAAAAGACAGCUGCUGUUUCUGAGAGCUCACGAUCUAAGGCACAGAGAACAAAUGGCUGGUAGAAGAGGAUAAAGUUUAAACUACGUUCAGCAAGGAAGCAGAACUGAAGCACAGAGAGGGUCUUCAUCUCAGUCUUAUGUCAUGCAGUAACCAACUGGAAGAGUUUAAAAUAAGAGGUUAUUUCCUGGCCUCCCUUCCGUGACCUAUGACCGAUGAUGACCUUUAGCUAGAGAAUGUGACAUUUUGUUCUCCUCUGGCUGACAUGUGAUGCCCUCAUUAUUCAAAGUUUCUUCAAUUCGUUGCACUGUGGGCAGACUUACGAAGCAACUCCAAUCUGUAUUUCAAUUUCACAUGAUCCUCCAGCAUUUCCAGAACUGCUGAGAACCUGGACGACGUCCGCCAGUUGAGACGGCAGAAGAAAAAUCCUCAUCAUUUAGCUCAGGAAUGAAUGGGUCUGACUGCUGGUCCUAGAGCAGCUGGACUAGAUAAUUGUACAGACUGAAGGAAACAACUGGUGAAGAACCCAUAUAUUCCUAGUUAUUUCUUUGUUUUACCUGGCUUAUGAAUAUUUACAUGAGCAGAUUUUGGCUCACACUGGGAAACUCUUGUAUAAAUAUCUAUGGUAACAUAGCAACAAGGAAUUUUGAGCAGGAAACUGGUUUUCUGACUAAUUUCUCUUUAUUUCUAAGAUGAUCAGCUCUGUUGGAAAAAAAAUGUUAAGUGAUUAUUUUGUUUUUGAAACCUAAGAUCAUUGUUUCUUGAACAUUUUCAGCAGUGGUUCUGCACAAUAACUAUUAUGGCUUAAUUCUUUAUUACCAGUGCCCUGAGGACAUUUUACAUUUGGCUUUGUAUUGAAACAAUACUAUUGCUAAGAUGUUCUUCAGGUAGCCAUUGUACAGUAUGUCUUUUUCUAGAAUUUGUAUUUUAAAAUUAACCAUGAAACCCUUCCAUCAUACAUUAAAUAGGUGAGAUAAAGUGUUAAAACAAGGGCUGUACCUGAUACUUGAAAGUUGCUAUUCCUGACAGCACUUCAUCUUUUUCAUACCCAUAUUGGCUUUUAUCCCGGCCCAUCUAUUCCUUAAUGUAAGUGUUAUAAAUUGUUGUAAAGUGCCAUAAAAUAUAAUAAACAUGAAUCAAUAUUUCUUGGUUAAAAAAACUUAGAAAUGCUGAUGAAGCUCAGGUUUAUUAUAGAUGUCCUGAACUCACAAUGUGCCUUUAUUUUUUUUUAUCUUCAUCAUUUUUUCAGGUUUUGAAUUCGUCUGUGCUUACACAUUCAUUCUUCACAAAUCAAAGAGGCAGUGAAAAUUAAAAUUACUAAUGCAGAGCUAAUGAAGCACCUAACAUUUUUAACCAUUUUUUUUUAGGCAGGAUAUCCUGUUAUGAUAUUUGCUAUGUAUAACCAAAUUCAAGCAAAUUCCUUCUGGAUCUAGUGAAUAUUAAGCAUGUGCACAGUCCCAGAAAGUUUGGGGAUUACUCAAAUGCUUAAAGUUAAGCAUAUGCUUAAAUGCUUUGCUGAAUCAGGGAUUUAAUGAAGAAAAAUGGCACAGUAGUGCUAUUUGCCAUAAAAAUUCAUCACUGCCCUGGAUCUCUGCUCAUUAAAGAAGAUGCUAUGAUUUGUGUUUAGAAUAUGAAAGAAAUAUGAUGCCUCCAUGGUGCAUUAAAUACCCAAGCAUACACAUGCAUUUAAAUUCUUGCUAUCUUUUUAAGGAUAUUGCUGUGAAUUAUGCUCUUGUAUAUGCAAAAGCAUCCUUCAUAGUGAAGUGACAGUUCGUUUCCACAUCCAGCUGAUGCUCUUUACAUAUUAUUAGUACUAUUUAUUCUCAAUCUGAAGCUAAUGAUGGAUUUCUUUGUCCUCGGUUGGUUUUGCGGUUUCUCCACCGGAGCUGCCAUGGGCCAUGGCAUUUCCAGGGGCAUUGGAAGGCUCUUCCUGGGCAGAGUAAACCUGCCCAGGUUUCCUUCUUUACAGGGCAGAGUAGACCUGGUCCCCUUCUGGCACUACAGAGCUGAUCUAGGUACUACAGACACUCUGCUUCUGCUAGCACGACAAUCCAGGGGUGCCCAAACCACCUCUGCUCCCACUGGCUCAUUGCUGCCCAGCUGAGAUAAGGUUGCCACCCCAUCCUGCUGCAAGGAGGCACCAUGUUAGUGAAAAGCUACCAUGUUAGUGCACCAUGUUAGUGAAAGCUACUGUGAAGUGCCCUCACUGUGAAAGCCACCUGGCUCCAUCAGUGGCACAGCCUUGGUGAAGGGAAACAACCCUGCUCUCUCCUGUUGGUCAUCACUCAGGGAUUUAAAACCUUUUUUAGAGCCAAUCUGGCAGCUGGAAGGAGAAACACGGUGAGGAUGCCUUCGUCCAGCCUGGUG